UACGUAGGGUGCAAGCGUUGUCCGGAAUUAUUGGGCGUAAAGAGCUUGUAGGCGGUUUGUCGCGUCUGCUGUGAAAUUUCGGGGCUCAACCCCGAACUUGCAGUGGGUACGGGCAGACUAGAGUGUGGUAGGGGAGACUGGAAUUCCUGGUGUAGCGGUGAAAUGCGCAGAUAUCAGGAGGAACACCGGUGGCGAAGGCGGGUCUCUGGACGGCAACUGACGCUGAGGCACGAAAGCGUGGGGAGCAAACAGG
rnacentral:rRNA from 1 species